CACGGACCGCGAGAUCGUGACCUGGCUGAAGUCGGAUGCUUAACCGACUGCGCCACCCAGUUACCAGCCCCUGCAACUUCACAACUCCAAGUGCUCACCCAGCCCUCCUGGUUUGGACUUGAAACUCAGUCCACCCCAAAGUCAAGAUCAUUCCUUUUUCACUCUCAACCCAUGGUUCACUUCAGAAGCUGCCCUUUGUUAUACUUCUUCUAUGGAGAGCACGGGGAAAUGGUAAAACUAAAGACAAGCUAUCACAAAACCAGAAUGUUCACUCAUUCAUUCAUUCAUUCACUCAUUCAGCAAACCUUUAUUGUAAGCCUGCUAUGUCCAGGCACUAUUCUGAUGGCAAUCCUCUUAAUAAUAAAUACAAUGUAUUGAAUGCUUACUGUGUGACAGGCAUGGUUUUAUGUUUCAUUGAAUUCUCACAGCAACAUGAGAUAGGUUCUUCUUUUUUUAUUGCCAUUUUACAUAUGAGCAAGCUGAGGUACAGAGCAGUUAUGUAACCAGACCAUGAAUGUGGCAGUGCUAAAAUUCGAAUCCAAGUGGUCAACUCCAGAGCUCUGUUUUCUUAACCCUAAACUAUGUUCAUAAGGCAUCCUAACCCAAUGUCUACUUAUGUUAUCCCCAUAUCCUUGUUUUUUAAACUUAAUUUAAUAAAAAUUUGCCAGCAAUGGCAAGGUGUCUGGCCAUGUUGCAUUAAAGUAGAUUUUACUAGGUCAGAUGAAGUAUUACAGUGUAAAUAGGAGGGUUUUAAAAAUAUGUGUAUUUAUGUUUGUGAUGAAUAAAUGACAGGUGUUAAAAUAAUGAGAGCUACUGGAGGUUGCAAAAGACAAGAGAAAUAGAAGACAUGUGGUGAAUGACGAGGAAUCAGAUUACAAGAAACAAAAUUCAGGGAAAAGAGAAGAAAUCACAUUGGAGAAAUUAGGAGCGACCCACAUUUUCAUCUCCCACACUUCAGAGAGGAACAGGCAAGAAGUCUGAGCUGUCCACAGACAGGAGAUGGGGACAGCAGGCCUGAGCUCCUCAGCAGGGCCUGGAGAAACCAGAAGAAAGGACCUCCUUCCUGAGUCACGCAUGAGUCAAGGACAAAGUGUUCUAACUUCAACAGGAGGCAGAAGCAAAAGAACACUGGAAAGUGGAACUAGAAGUUUCUAAAAUCCUAAUCUAGGCCAUGUUGAAAUGUUAGACAGCUGAGUUUAACAAAGAUCUAACAAUUACCAACUAAAUGCCAGGCACAUGACACCAUGUGGGGUGCUGGGACUAUGGCAAUAAGAAUCUGCCCAGCCCUCAAGCACCUGGAGAGGAAGUCUGGGGGGAGGUGAGAGCUGAGGGUGGUGGUCCAAGAGGACUCUGAGAGUCCUGGAGGGGACAGAUUAAUGCUGACAGAGGUGGGGUAGAUGUCAGGGACAGUGUGGGAGGGGAGGGGACAUUUGUACUAGUCUUGAGGGAUGACUAGGACUCAGAGCAGAGGGUUGGGGGUAUAGAGGGCAAUUCCAGGACAUUGAGCAACCGUCAGUUGGCAAUCUGCAGUUGGCAAUCAUGUGCUAUGCAGAAGAGAGCUCUUGGUUAGGAUCACGUCAGAGAAGUGAAUCAAAAGUGAAAUAAAAUCCCAUGAUCUCUAGGGAAAUUUCUGAGUGGGAGACAUGUGUCAACGUAUGAAUUCCAUGACAAUUAGAAGUGAAACCACUGAGAACAUUGCUCACAUUUUUUCCGUCAUCGAGACUUGUGGGGGAGUCUACAGGAAACCAGCGUGUCAGGAAUAUAUCCGGAAGAAGAUGGAGAACCUCUAAGAUGGAUUUGCCUCCUCUCCCAAGCAAUUCCCCCCAGGCUAUCUCUCAGGUGUCAGCCUCUCUGUUCCCAUCACCAUCAUAUAUUCUGUCCCUUGGUACCUCACAAUCCCUCUGACUGUUUCAAUGGCUGACACUGUUCUCCUGGCUUUGUUCUCUCAGGUCUCUCAGAAUGUGAACAUUUAUGAAACAACUAAACUCUGCCAGACUCUGUGGUAUGCACUGAAUGCAGUCUCCCUCAGCACUGCUCUGAGUGCACCAUUUUCCUGCUCACUUUCCAUCACCUUUUGAUGAGAGCUUACUUAGGUUCCACAGUUAGUCACUAAGAGCCAUUGGUUCUCCUCCAGCCAUGCUUUUCUUGUACCUUCCAGCGUAGGGUCUUUGAGUCACAUAUUUCUUUUUCCUGGAUCGCUUCUGCCUUGCCUAACUCUGUCUUUGAAGGUACAGCUCAGUUUCUCCAUGAACCCUCCGAAUACCAGAAAUAGGAAGUGAUCUCUUCUGCUGGAGUUCUGGAGGUCAUAUAGUGGUUUAAACCACUCUUGUAAUGCUUUCCACAGUGGACUGACACAGUGCUUAUUUGUAUAUACGUCAGGGAUCUGACGUAUAUUUAUUUAUGGUUCACAAGAAACCUAUUUACACAUGGACUGAGGACUCUCAGAGGAGAGUUAAUUAAUUAAUCCUCAGAGGAGCCAGGCCCAAGGAGCUUGACUUAGCAAGGCCUUGGUGGGGAGAGGGGCAGGGUGCUUAUGAUUCAUAUCUCUCCUUUGCUAGAGCUCAAGUUCCUUCAGGGCAGAUACCAUGAAUGAUUCACUUAUUAAAGCCUGUGAUGUCCAGCAUAAUGUUUGACAGCAAGUGAAUAUUUAAUAAGUAUUCAUGAGAUAAAAGAAUAUUUAUUGUUGUCUCCUGAGAGCAAAUCUAACUAUUUGCCAGGCUUUAUCGCUAAAAUUUUUAUAUAAACCCAAGAUUUUCUUUUCACAUGUGUGGAUCUCUAGUGUGGGGUUACUGCAGGAGGUUCACAAAUCCAUGUCAUGUCAAGAAUUUUCCAUAGACUGAGUAAAUAAAAUGCUUUGUACCUACAUGUAAUGCUAUAUUUCAAAUAAUAAAGAUACCAUUGUGGUUGAUUCUAAAAAUCUACAAAUAUAUCUAAAAAAAAAAAAAAAACCUUGUAGGAAUCCAGAUAUCUUUUCCCACACAA